UUUAUGGAGAGUUUGAUCCUGGCUCAGGAUGAACGCUGGCGGCGUGCCUAAUACAUGCAAGUCGAGCGGACAGACGAGGAGCUUGCUCCUUUGAUGUUAGCGGCGGACGGGUGAGUAACACGUAGGUAACCUACCUAUAAGACUGGGAUAACUUCGGGAAACCGGAGCUAAUACCGGAUAAUAUUUCGAACCG
rnacentral:rRNA from 1 species